UACAGAGGGUGCAAGCGUUAAUCGGAUUUACUGGGCGUAAAGCGUGCGUAGGCGGUUCAUUAAGUCGGUUGUGAAAUCCCUGGGCUUAACCUGGGAACUGCAGUCGAUACUGGUGAACUAGAAUGCGGUAGAGGGUGGCGGAACUCCGGGGUGUAGCGGUGAAAUGCGUAGAUAUCCGGAAGAACACCGAUGGCGAAGGCAACCACCUGGGCCUGCAUUGACGCUGAGGUACGAAAGCGUGGGGAGCAAACAGG
rnacentral:rRNA from 1 species